UGAUAUAAUUCUGAGGCUAUGCUUGAACCCCUACACGAACUAGGCAUGGUGGGAAUGACUUAACUAAGUACAAUGACGCCAACAUGAUAUAAUUCUGAGGCAUCAUUUUCUAGAGGCCAAAUAAGAUGGGUACUUGCAAGAGGUUGUUGCAAAUGAGUAAGUGUACUCUCUCAUUAUUAUUAACGCUAGCCAACAUGAUAUAAUUCUGAGGUGGGCUUGGUAAUAGUGAGCCUCCCAUAACCUACUAGGAGUUUCAUCCAAAACUCUCGAAUUCCAAUGAGGGAUAUGGAAUUUGCCAAAAAUAGUGGGUGGUGCUAUUUUGAUUUAAAGACCCGAAUCAAAUGGCUUAAAAUCAAUCAAUUAAUAUUCGUUAUGUAUUUGUUUACCAAUAUAUUUGCAAACGCUAUCCAACACUUGACAAAUAAAAGCCGAAAGUUUAGUUUCCGGACUUAGUACUACAAAACCAUAGAUUGUCUUUAAUGGCUUGUAAAUGUACCUAAGUAGUCUCAUCCUCACAAUCUUCCUAUUGAUAAAGUAUCAUUAGAAGAAUAUGUUAGAAAAGUCUAUCAUAAAGAGGACAACAAUUUUAAAUGUCAUAAUUCUUCAAUUACAAAUUGUUGUAUGAAGAAAUAGGAGUUGCUUUGAACAACUCUUAGUCAAUGCAAACACUUAGUGCUUGUUU
rnacentral:lncRNA from 1 species